rnacentral:tRNA from 1 species
GCGCCCUUAGCUCAGUGGUAGAGCGUUCGAUUCACAUUCGAAAGGCCGUAGGUCCGAUCCCUACAGGGCGCACUA